rnacentral:rRNA from 1 species
UGGGGGAAUUUUGGACAAUGGGCGAAAGCCUGAUCCAGCAAUGCCGCGUGUGUGAAGAAGGCCUUCGGGUUGUAAAGCACUUUUGUCCGGAAAGAAAUCCUUGGCUCUAAUACAGUCGGGGGAUGACGGUACCGGAAGAAUAAGCACCGGCUAACUACGUGCCAGCAGCCGCGGUAAUACGUAGGGUGCAAGCGUUAAUCGGAAUUACUGGGCGUAAAGCGUGCGCAGGCGGUUUGCUAAGACCGAUGUGAAAUCCCCGGGCUCAACCUGGGAACUGCAUUGGUGACUGGCAGGCUAGAGUAUGGCAGAGGGGGGUAGAAUUCCACGUGUAGCAGUGAAAUGCGUAGAGAUGUGGAGGAAUACCGAUGGCGAAGGCAGCCCCCUGGGCCAAAUACUGACGCUCAUGCACGAAAAGCGUGGGGGAGCAAAACAGGAUUAGAUACCCUGGUAGUCCACGCCCUAAAACGAUGUCAACUAGUUGUUGGGGAUUCAUUUCCUUAGUAACGUAGCUAAACGCGUGAAGUUGACCGCCUGGGGGAGUACGGUCGCAAAGAUUAAAAACUCAAAGGAAUUGACGGGGUCAUAGCUGUUUCCU